UACAGAGGGUGCAAGCGUUGUUCGGAAUUAUUGGGCGUAAAGCGCGUGUAGGCGGUUCGGUAAGUCCGCUGUGAAAGUCGGGGGCUCAACCCUCGAAUGCCGGUGGAUACUGUCGGACUAGAGUACGGAAGAGGCGAGUGGAAUUCCUGGUGUAGCGGUGAAAUGCGCAGAUAUCAGGAGGAACACCAAUUGCGAAGGCAGCUCGCUGGGACGUUACUGACGCUGAGACGCGAAAGCGUGGGGAGCAAACAGG
rnacentral:rRNA from 1 species